UGCGUAGGCGGAUUAAUAAGUCAGUGGUGAAAACCUGCAGCUUAACUGUAGACUUGCCAUUGAUACUGUUAGUCUUGAGUACGGUCAAGGUAGGCGGAAUGUGCAAUGUAGCGGUGAAAUGCUUAGAUAUUACACAGAACACCGAUUGCGAAGGCAGCUUACUGGGCCAUUACUGACGCUGAGGCACGAAAGCGUGGGGAGCGAACAGGAUUAGAUACCCUGGUAGUCC
rnacentral:rRNA from 1 species